CUGGUGGUAGAAGCCCGAAGGUAACGACCCGGAGCAAUCCGGGAGCCAGUAGAGGUGCUGCAUGGCUGUCGUCAGCUCGUGUCGUGAGAUGUUGGGUUAAGUCCCGCAACGAGCGCAACCCUUACCCUUAGUUGCCAGCGGGUAAUGCCGGGCACUCUAAGGGGACCGCCCCGGAUAACGGGGAGGAAGGCGGGAUGACGUCAAGUCAGCAUGGCCUUUAUGUCCAGGGCUACACACGUGCUACAAUGGGCGAUACAGAGGGAAGCAAGGCCGCAAGGUAGAGCUAAUCCCUAAAGUCGUCCUCAGUUCGGAUUGCAGGCUGCAACUCGCCUGCAUGAAGUCGGAAUCGCUAGUAAUCGCGGAUCAGCUACGCCCGCGGUCCGAAUACGUUCCGGCCUU
rnacentral:rRNA from 1 species